rnacentral:rRNA from 1 species
GACGAACGCUGGCGGCGUGCCUAAUACAUGCAAGUAGAACGCAGUUGCGAACGGGUGAGUAAAGCGUCGGUAACUGCCUCAUAGCGGGGGAUAACUAUUGGAAACGAUAGCUAAUACCCCAUACUGUGAGCUGGACCUGCGUUGUAUUAGCUAGUUGGUGAGGUAAAGGCUCACCAAGGCGACGAUACAUAGCCGACCUGAGAGGGUGAUCGGCCAAACUGGGACCGGGACACGGCCCAGACUCCUACGGGAGGCAGCCGUAGGGAAUUUUCGGCAAUGGACGGAAGUCUGACCGAGCAAAGCCGCGGGAGUGAAGAAGGGUCUCGGAGCGGAAAGCUCUGUUGUGAGAGAAGCGUUAACUAACCAGAAAGGGACGGCUAACUACGUGCCAGCAGCCGCGGUAAUUC